rnacentral:tRNA from 1 species
CCUUUGAUGGCCGAGAGAAAGGCAUUAAGCUUUUAACUUAACUACAGUUUUACCUUCAAAGGU